GAUGGGCUUCGACUUACUAUGAGGGGGAUCUUGUCCCAGCUUAAUGCCAUCAGGACUUAGCUUCAGUCUAGGCCUUCUGCAUCUAGUGAGCCAGCCUUUGUUGAGCCUAUUGCUUUCCAUCCUCUAGUAUCUUUCUCUCAGUCCAGACCCUUCGAUCGAGGAUGAGGCUAAUCAUGUCUCACCUUUCUUGAUCUCAUGCUCGAUACCCAG
rnacentral:lncRNA from 1 species